rnacentral:lncRNA from 1 species
ACAUUCUCUCAAAUGGCGCAACAUUCUCUUAUAAUAGUGCAAUGUUUAUAUAAAUAGUAUAAAUAUUUAUAUAAAUAGUGUAAAAUAUACACCGUUUAUAUAUAUAUUGUAUAAUUUUAUAGUAUAUUGUAAUAUAUUAUACUAUUUUUGCGUGAUAUACUAUAUUAUUCGUAAUUUAUACUAUUAGAAAAUUAGUCAUUAGUGACAAUUAUUUAUACUGCUAAAUAAUCAACAAAUGCUACUAAAAGUUUUAGCAGCAUAUGAUAUCGAAUGCUGCCUAUACCAAUGUUACUAAAAGUAUCAGCAGCAUUUAUAAUAAAUGCUGCCAAUAUAAAUCAAUUAGUGUCAUUAGAAAAAUACCGCUAAAAGGGAUUAAAUACUAAUUUUAAAUUAUUUAUUAGUGGCACAUAAAUAUAAUGCUGCUAAUACAAAUAUCUGAUUUUAAAAACUAAAAUUUUAAAAUUAUAAUUUUAUUUUAAAUUUUUUUGAGAUGCUACCCGCUUCGUUUAUUUUUUUUUAGAAAUAAACUAUGCUGAAAAUGUGAAUUAACUAGGAUUCGAACUUGAGACCUUGAGUACCAACCACCAAGCCCUUUGCCACUUGCGCUAGUGACUAUUAACUACAAAUAUUUUAAUUUUUUCUAUUUUAAAAUUUUAAAAUUUAAAAUUUUAAAUUUAGAUACUAAAUUUAAAUUUUUAAUUUUCAAAUAUCAAAUUUUAAGUUUCAAAAUUAAUAGUUUUAAAUUUGGAAUUUUAAAUUUAAAAUGAAUUUAAAAAUUUAAAAUUUUAAAUUUAAAAAUUAAAAAUUAAAAAUUAAAAAUUUUAGAAUUUAAAAUUUAAAAUAUAAAUUUUAAAAUUUAAAAUAUAAAUUUUAAAAUUUAAAAUUUUAAUUUUAAUUUUUAAAAUUAUAUGUUUCGAAUUUUAAACUUUAAUUUUAAAAUUUUUAAUUUUAAAUAAAAAUGGAUAUAUUAAUAAUUAUAUAUUAAUUAGUAAUGAUAUUUACUAACAAGUGCUGCUAGUUUAUUAUAUUUAGCGGCAUUCACUAAUUUAUACUACUGAUUUAUCAUAUUUUGCAACAUUAACAGUAAAUUACUGCUAAAUAAUUAAACUUAGCGGCAAUUAUCAAGUAAUGCUGCUAAAUAUAUUAAUUGGCAUGAUUUAAAUAAAUAUUGCAGAGCAAAUAUUGCGGCAUUUAGAAAUAAGUGCUGCUACUUUAUUACAUUUAGUGUCAUUUUUUAUAAAAUGCUGAAAACUUCAGCGACAUUCACUACUUUAUGCUGCUAAUUUAUUUUAUUUUGCAACAUUAAUAGUAAAUUGCCGGUAAAUUAUUAAAUCUAGCGACACUUAUCAAGUAAUGCUGUUAAAUAUAUUAAUUAGCAUUAUUUAAAUAAAUACUGCGGAGUAAAUGUCGCUAAAUCAUAAAUUUGUUGUAGUCUAAAAAUCAUUCAAAAUAUGUUUUAACAAUACAUAUAUUACACUAUUUAUACAGAUAUUGCACUAUUUGGAAAAACAUUUACUCUAUUGAAAGGAUGUUGCACUCUUUCAUCUUAUUGAUUAUACUUUAUUCUUUUUUAUUUUAUCUUAAAUGAGAAUUCUCGUUUUACGAGAAAUAUACAUGUAAUUAUGGAUUAACAAUUGUCAUUUUAAAAAAAUUGAUACUUCAUUUAAUAUGUAAUAAAAUUUAAUUUUCAAAAGAAAAGAGCAACACACAUCUAAAUUGUGCAAUAUUCUCUCAUAAUAGUGCAACGUUUACACAAAUUGUGUAAAUAUUUAUACAAAUAGUGUAAAAUAUGCACCGUUUAUAUAUAUAUUAUAUUAUUUUAUAGUAUGUUGUAAUAUAUUAUAUUAUUUUCGCUUAAUAUACUAUACUAUUUAUAAUUUAGUGUAAAAAUUAUUCAAAAUGUGUAUUAACAAUACAUAUGUUACACUAGUUAUACAGAUAUUGCACUAUUUUGAAGAGUAUAUUGCACUAUUUGAGAAGAUAUUGCACUCUUUCAUCUUAUUAAUUAUACUUUACUUUUUUUAUUUUAUUUUGAAUGAGGAUUCUCGUUUCACGAGAAAGGUACAUGCAAUUAUGACUUAAUAGUUGUCAUUUCCAAAAAAAUGACACUUUAUUUAAUAUGCAAUAAAAUUUAAUUUUCAAAAAGAAAGAGUGCAACACACAUUUAAAUAGUGCAACAUCCUCUCAUAGUAGUGCAACGUUUGCACAAAUGGUGUAAAUAUCUGUGCAAAUAGUAUAAAAUAUGCACCGUUUACAUAUAUGUUGUAUUACAUUUAUAGUAUGUUGUAAUAUUAUGAGGACUGAGAUUUUGGCUGUGUAGCUAAACUCUUUGUUGACGAUAUUUUUGUGUGUAAUUUAAUUAUAUAAACACUCGUCAAGUUUCAGGAGAAAAUGAGUUAGGAUGGAGAAGUUACGCGACCUUUACUAUUCACUUAAAGUGAAUAGUA